AGAGUUUGAUCCUGGCUCAGAACGAACGUUGGCGGCGUGGAUUAGGCAUGCAAGUCGAACGAGAAAGCUUCCUUCGGGAAGUGAGUACAGUGGCGAACGGGUGAGUAACGCGUGGGAAACCUACCUUUGAGCGGGGGAUAACAUCCCUAACGGGGUGCUAAUACCGCAUACGACCUUCUGUCCGCAUGGUAAGGGGAUGAAAGGUGGCCUCUUCAUGAGAGCUGCCGUUGAAGGAUGGUUCCGCCUCCCAUUAGCUAGUUGGUGGGGUAAUGGCCUACCAAGGCGACGAUGGGUAGCCGGCCUGAGAGGGUGUCCGGCCACACUGGGACUGAGAUACGGCCCAGACUCCUACGGGAGGCAGCAGUCGAGAAGCUUCCGCAAUGGGGGAAACCCUGACGGAGCGACGCCGCGUGAGUGAAGAAGGCCCUAUGGGUUGUAAAACUCUGUCAGAUUGGGAAGAAAGCACCGUAAUUAAUACCUACGGUGUUUGACGGUACCAUCAGAGGAAGCACCGGCUAACUCCGUGCCAGCAGCCGCGGUAAUACGGAGGGUGCAAGCGUUGUUCGGAUUCACUGGGUAUAAAGGGUGCGCAGGCGGCCUUAUAAGUCAGAGGUGAAAUAUGUCGGCUCAACCGGCAAACGGCCUCUGAAACUGUAAGGCUUGAGUUCGAGAGAGGUAGGUGGAAUUCCAGGUGUAGCGGUGAAAUGCGUAAAUAUCUGGAGGAACACCGGUGGCGAAGGCGGCCUACUGGCUCGAUACUGACGCUCAGGCACGAAAGCAUGGGGAGCGAACGGGAUUAGAUACCCCGGUAGUCCUAGCCGUAAACGAUGGACACUAGGUGUUGGAGGAGUCUACCCCUUCAGUGCCGCAGCUAAUGCAUUAAGUGUCCCACCUGGGGAGUACGAUCGCAAGGUUGAAACUCAAAGGAAUUGACGGGGGCCCGCACAAGCGGUGGAGCAUGUGGUUUAAUUCGACGCAACGCGAAGAACCUUACCUGGGCUUGACAUGCAGGGGACAGGUGUUAGAGGAGUGCUCUUCGGAGAACUUGAGGACAGGUGCUGCAUGGCUGUCGUCAGCUCGUGUCGUGAGAUGUUGGGUUAAGUCCCGCAACGAGCGCAACCCCUGUCGAUAGUUGCUACCAGCUAAGGGCUGGGCACUCUAUCGAGACUGCCGGUGUUAAACCGGAGGAAGGUGGGGAUGACGUCAAGUCCUCAUGGCCCUUACGUCCGGGGCUACACACGUGUUACAAUGGCGAGCACAAAGGGUUGCCAAGCUGCGAAGUGGAGCUAAUCCCAAAAAACUCGUCUCAGUUCGGAUAGGAGGCUGCAAUUCGCCUCCUUGAAGCCGGAAUCGCUAGUAAUCGCGCAUCAGAACGGCGCGGUGAAUACGUUCCCGGGCCUUGUACACACCGCCCGUCAAGUCAACCGAGUUGGCUGCACCCCAAGUCGCUGAGCUAACCCCGUAAGGGGAGGCAAGUGCCCAAGGUGUGGUUGAUAAGGGGGACUAAGUCGUAACAAGGUAACC
rnacentral:rRNA from 1 species